CACUGAUUCGCCAAUGGUGAUAUGGGGAUGAUGGAAGACUUCCUGAGGUGCAGGUUCCAUUUUGAACCUACUCCAUAGCAAACAUUUUAUUUUUCAGUCACCUUGGAAGAUGUUUCUGAGAAUGGUAUAUAUUGAAAGAGAUCUCCUUUGCAAGUGACUUCAUGCAGCCAGAUGGGAAAGCAUUUUCCUCACCUCCCAUGUGUGCAGGGAAGAUCCUCACUCCAGUGAAGACCAUGAUC